GGUCGGUUAGCUCAGUUGGCAGAGCAUCGCAAUUACAUCCAGUUUCAGGAUCUGAAAUAAGAAGGACUGCGAAGGCCAUAGGUUCAAGCCCUAUACUGACCA